rnacentral:rRNA from 1 species
UAGGGAAUCUUCGGCAAUGGACGAAAGUCUGACCGAGCAACGCCGCGUGAGUGAAGAAGGUUUUCGGAUCGUAAAACUCUGUUGUUAGAGAAGAACAAGGACGUUAGUAACUGAACGUCCCCUGACGGUAUCUAACCAGAAAGCCACGGCUAACUACGUGCCAGCAGCCGCGGUAAUACGUAGGUGGCAAGCGUUGUCCGGAUUUAUUGGGCGUAAAGCGAGCGCAGGCGGUUUCUUAAGUCUGAUGUGAAAGCCCCCGGCUCAACCGGGGAGGGUCAGUGGAAACUGGGAGACUUGAGUGCAGAAGAGGAGAGUGGAAUUCCAUGUGUAGCGGUGAAAUGCGUAGAUAUAUGGGGGAACACCAGUGGAGAAGGCGGCUCUCUGGUCUGUAACUGACGCUGAGGCUCGAAAGCGUGGGGAGCAAACAGG